CUGAACUAGGUGAUGGGCACCAACUGGUGAACAAGAUGGACACAAGGCCUUCCUCAGUGGCAGGGAUCUCAAGAUCCCUUCUUGAUCUAAGAUUCUCUAAAUGGGAAAAAAGGAUGAAGGGGAUGGAGAAAAGAAGAAAAAAGAAGAAAGGAAUAUCUGAAGCAAAUAUGAACACUGC
rnacentral:lncRNA from 1 species